CCUCGGGGGGCUGAGGCCGAGUGACUUUCCUGUGGUCACCUCCGCAGGACAGCAGAGCGCACCGCAGUGGCCCGCAUCGGUUCCCUCGUCCGUGUUCCUAGGCAACUCGGGGCAGUUCAAGCCGCUCUCUGGGCCUCGGUGGGCCCCCGGCUGCGAGGGGCGGGCUGUGGGGCCGAUUCCCCGCCAUGCCAGAGCUCACAUGCAUGGGUCCGCCGCGGGACCACAGUGCGGGGCCGUCGGUACCUGUUGGCACUAGCUCUGGAGACAGCCUGCAGAUAAGCCGGCCAGUGAGGGUGGGAGCCUUCUGCGGGGGCUGGCCAGGGCGUGGGAGGACAGGCCUGCCCUGGGGCCUGCAGCUCCGCACCCGAAGAACUGGACUGAACUUCACAUGCAGAGGGUUUCAUUUGAAUUGGUUUACACUUAAAGAGCCCCGGGCUCCUGACCGUGCGUGGUGCAGGGAACCCUCCAGCCUGACGCCUGUCUGCAGGAAGUGCCCCCUCCAGCCUCCACGACCUGGCGGCCUGAUGGUCUUCCUGCCUGCCAGAGCCGCCGUGUAACGCUGCAGGGUGGGGGACGCCGGAGCGAGGAGUGGCGAGCGUCUGAUGUGGCAACUAGCCACGCUGACUGUUGCGAUGCAUUAAAAUAAAACCCAACGAAAAGC